UACGAAGGGGGCUAGCGUUGCUCGGAAUCACUGGGCGUAAAGCGCACGUAGGCGGAUUGUUAAGUCAGGGGUGAAAUCCUGGAGCUCAACUCCAGAACUGCCUUUGAUACUGGGACGAUGUCGAGUCCGGGAGAGGUGAGUGGAACUGCGAGUGUAGAGGUGAAAUUCGUAGAUAUUCGCAAGAACACCAGUGGCGAAGGCGGCUCACUGGCCCGUAUGACGCUGAGGUGCGAAAGCGUGGGGAGCAACAGGAU
rnacentral:rRNA from 1 species